rnacentral:lncRNA from 1 species
AGCUCUGGUCACUGUCAGCCUAGCUGUCCAGGCACCCUUCUGCAAUUUUCGUUUGAAUUGAUUUUUUUAAAAGCACCUGAUAUACACUUUUCUUCUUAUUCUUCUCCUUCUAGUCCUCUAUUCAAGGCCCUACCACAGAGACACACAGGAACGGAACUCAGAAUCACAAACAAAGAAACUUUGAUCCAAGAAAGAAAAUGAUCUUUAAAAAGACCCUCGUUUCAUGCUGGCCGAUGCUGAGAAAAUCUGCUCUGAAGGAUAUUUGGAGACACUGAUUAAAAGGUAGUACCAUCACCACAUAUUUAACUUCCCCCUCUUUUUCCUCUGCUUCUAGGAGUAGAGAAACCAACAAAACCAACCGGAGAGAGAUGGUUUCAAACAAUCUGUCCCCCACCCCACCACUAUUCACACCUUUCACAAGGGCCCAGCCACAAAGCCAGUGCAACAUGACAUCAAUCAUCAGCAAAGUGGAGAUGGUUGUCCCAGUGGAGGGGGAUUCUUCGUGUUACGUAGAUAGGAAGCACGAUGCAAAAGUGUUGAAGCAGGAGUGUAAAGAAUAAUUAAAACACCUGCCCAAGACCCAAGCAAGGAUAGGAUUUCCCAGACAUUCGUGAGGGAGAAAAUGCCAUGUCCUUUCCUUCUGGUGUCACAUCAGAAUCUGAAGGCUGCUAGAGAAGGGAGAGAAACAUGAAAGUGAGUCCCAUGCUGAUUGUUGUUGAAAUACCUGGAAAGAAACUGGCAAAGACUAUCCAAGGGAUGCUAAGACAUGUCCGAACUUACAAAACAGUAGAACCUGAAUAGGAAUUUGAAGUUGUCUAUACUCUCCUCAGCCACACCCUGCCAUUUUACAGAUUGUCUUCUCUGGGGAAGUUAGCUGUCAUGUUGUGAGGAUACUCAAGCAGUUUAUAAAGAGGUUCAUGUCGCAAGGAAUGGAGGCCUCCUGCCAACAGCCAUGUAAAGGAGCCAUCUAGGAAAUAGAUUCUCCAGCCCCAGUCAGACCUUCAGAUGAUUACAGCCCCUACCAACCUUCUGACUGCGGUGGAAGGAAGGUUCCGGAACCAGAACCACCCAGGUUAAUGUGGGUAAGUCUCAUCCAAUCCUUUGAAGGCCUGAAGAACAAAGAGUGAGGUUUCUGGAAGAAGAAAAUUUUACCUCAAGCCUGCAAUGUAGAAAUUCUGCUUGAGUUUCCCGCCUGCUGGCCUGCCCUGUGGAAUUCGGAGUCAAGAAGGAGUCUUGUAAGCAUUAACUGAGAUAGUAUAUGAAGAGUGCUUUUGCACCGAGUGAACCUUCAAUCAACUGUACUAGUUUGUAUGCCUGGAAGAGCUGCUAUAUGGGAUCAGAAAGAAAAAUAAGGUGCAUACGCCAGAAAAAAAAUACUUGCAUAUGAGUACUAGGAGAUGCAUGACAAUGUUCACGGCAGCAGUAUUCAUGGCAGUGAAAAAUGAAAAGAACUGAAAUGCCCAUUGAUAAAAACGUCUACUUAUUUGUGUCAUCUUUGCACAGUGGAAUUGUGCGAGUGGAAAUGAUUGAUCUACAGCUAGGAGAAGCAGCAGAGCUCAAUCUCAAAAACAUAACGUUGUGUGGAAAAAGCUAACCUCAGAACACUUUGCGGCUCUAUCUUAGCAAACCAGGAGAGAAAUUCUCCUGAUGGCCUUGAAGAAGCAAACAGCCACCUGGUUAAGCCCCUGUGGAUAGUGCCAAGUGGCAGGAAAGUGGGAGCCACCUCUAGGACCUGAGGAUUAAAGUCAGUAAGAGCUGGGACCUCACUCAUGCAGACUCGAGGACAUGAAUUCGACCAACAACUUGAAUGAGCUUGGAAGUGGAUUCUUCCCUAGUCCAGUCUUCAGAAAUUAAGAAUGUUCCCAAAGAAUGAUGGAGACAUUUCAAAAGGAUACGGAAGCCAGAUUGUGGGCGCUUCUACUGGCCAACUCUGGGACAUCGUGGACAUCAAAAUAAAUUUGUAAUAAUAAAGGAUUAUAGCCUAUUAGUUAAAUCAGAAAAAUCUGAUUUAACUAAAUGAGUAGGAGGAAAAGAAAGCUCUUCCUUAUAUUAGAAAGUCAAUUAAUAAAUGCAGAAAGGAAUGAAAAAAUUAGAAAAGCCACCAUUUGGCAACCAUGGCAGGCAGAAUGGGGAGUAUGCCUCCAGACAGUAAUUCCUUUCAAACUGGUUUAUAGGAACUCACUGAGCUUGCUGAUCGACCUCUGAGAGGCAAAGUUUCUGAAUUAUGAAGUACUGAUUAUAUAAACUUAGACAGAGACAUGCUUCAUUAUUUAAUAGGACUGUGUCAAAAGCCUACUAUUAGGAUGAUGUGUUGGGUGUGGAACAGGGUCUCUUCCUGCCAGGAACACUGGUGAUUUCACUCCGUGUUCAGGCUGAUCUUUGAAGUUGAAGACAAGCAGAAGAAUCCUUCUAAAAUUUAGCCAUGCCCAUAGGCUGGGAGGGACACUGCUCCAUUCAGAGGCAGCAAAGCACAUUACUGUAUCUCCUAUAGAGCUUUGAGCAGUCCAGUGUACAUGGAGAAACUUAGUAAAUGUUGUUGAAUUAGUGAAUGAACAAAUCAAUGGACCAAGUCAGGGGUAAGUCUUACAUUUGUCAUCUAGGUGAUUAAGAAAGGAAAAAGUAUCUGUUUCAAGAGGAUUACAAUCUAACUGUACUCCAAUAGUAAAAUUUACUCUUUUGGAAUCUGAAGACAUUCAUGAGUCUUUGCAUCUUAUUUCCUGAAUUCUAACUUCCCUUGCCUUUAUGAAUGACAAAGAAGAUGCAUACAACCUUUGUAAAUGCUUGCUGAAUUUGAACAUUAUGUUGCUUUGUGAUUGCCUCCACUUGGGAUUCCAAAUGACAUCAUGUGGAUUCACUGGAGGCCUCGGGUAGCUGGG